GGUUGAUCCUGCCGGCGGCCACCGCUAUUGGUAUUCGAUUAAGACAUGCGAGUCGAGAGACGUAAGGUCUCGGCGGACCGCUGAGUAACACGCGGAUAACAUGCCCUGGGGUGGGGGAUAACCUCGGGAAACUGAGAAUAAUACCCCAUAGGUUUAGGGUGCUGGAAUGCUUCUAUGCUGAAAACUCCGGUGCCCCAGGAUUGGUCUGCGGCUUAUCAGGUUGUAGUGGGUGUAACGGACCCACUAGCCUAUGACGAGUAUGGGCCUUGAGAGAGGGAGCCCACAGAUGGACUCUGAGACAUGAGUCCGGGCCCUACGGGGCGCAGCAGUCGCGAAGACUUCACAAUGGGAGAAAUCCCGAUGAGGGAAUACCAAGUGCCAGCACUUUUGUGUUGGCUGUUCCCCUGUCUAAAAAACAGGAGAAGUAAGGGCCGGGUAAGACGGGUGCCAGCCGCCGCGGUAAUACCCGCGGCCCGAGUGGUGGUCGAUAUUAUUGAGCCUAAAACGUCCGUAGCCGGUCUCAUAAAUCCUUGGGUAAAUCGGCCAGCUUAACUGUCCGAAGUCCGAGGAGACUGUGAGACUUGGGAUCGGGAGAGGUCAGAGGUACUUCUGGGGUAGGGGUAAAAUCCUGUAAUCCUGGAAGGACCACCGGUGGCGAAGGCGUCUGACUAGAACGAAUUCGACGGUGAGGGACGAAGCCCUGGGGCGCAAACGGGAUUAGAUACCCCGGUAGUCCAGGGUGUAAACGCUGCGGGCUUGGUGUUGGGGGUCCUUUGUGGGCGCCCAGUGCCGGAGAGAAGUUGUUAAGCCUGCUGCUUGGGGAGUACGUCCGCAAGGAUGAAACUUAAAGGAAUUGGCGGGGGAGCACCGCAACGGGAGGAGCGUGCGGUUCAAUUGGAGUCAACGCCGGG
rnacentral:rRNA from 1 species